GGGGGUGUACUGGUUUCGACGGGAUUGUGGGUGGUCAGGUAAGCGAGCCGUGGCCCCGGGCCACGAUAAAACCGGGAAUUUAAAAUGAACUGACAAUAGCGAAUACGCUCUCGCUGCCUAAUUAGGCGGCGCGUCGGCCCGGUGAUCCCGCUGCACCGGAACCCGGCGUCAAUUAGCGGGCCAUGUUCAUGCCUAAGCUUUGCGGCAUGAACACAUCAUGAAGCUACCGAAUCCUUAAGCCUGUCUGCGGGCGUCUGGAUGAGGGAAUUUGAAAUCACAGACUGCGCUCGGAGAAAGCCUGGCUGUCGCUUUUUCGGACAGGAGUUCGAUUCUCCUCACCUCCACCA
rnacentral:tmRNA from 2 species